GUCGUCCAUGGCGAGGAUGAGGAGAGCGAUCGAGAGUACGUAGCUAACCUAAAACUAGAAGCUAGCCAGGAUCUCAAAGUUCCACAGAGAAAAAUAAGGAUGGCAAACGUCAACGUCAACGUCGCACAAGAAAGUGCCCAGCUUCCAGCAGCAACGAGCAAUGAUAAUAACAGUAGUAAAGACGAGGGAUCCAACCAGCUGAAGCAGACGACGCCGACAAGCAGUAACAUCAAUAUAGGUGGUGUCACCAAUGUCAUUGCAGGUGAUAGUGGUGGCAUCGAUGGGAAAUCCAGGAAGGCGAACGUGGCCGCCGAGAAGGUCCUAUCGGUGUCGGCGAACCUGGCGAAGCUGCUGCCGUCGGGCGCGGUGCUGGUGUUCCAGACGCUGUCGGCGAACUUCACCAACCAGGGCUCCUGCAACACCGCCAACAGGUGGCUCAGCGGCUUGCUCGUCGCCUUCCUCACCGCCGCCUGCAUCUUCCUCACCUUCACCGACAGCAUCCUCCACAAAGGCAAGAUCUACUACGGCGUGGCGCUCCCGGAGCGCCUCAACGUGUUCGGCCUCACCAAGAAGGAGGAGCGCCAGCUGCUCAAGGAGAUCGGGCCCGACCUCAGGGAGCGUAGGCUCAAGACGCUGGACUGGGUCCAUGCCUUCUUCACCGCCAUCGUCUUCAUCUCCAUCGCCAUGGGCGACGUCGGCCUCCAGCAGUGCUUCGUCCCGAACCUGGACAGUCCCGAUAUGGUUAACGUCAAGGAGCUGCUGAGGAACGCGCCGCUGGGGCUGGCGCUCCUCUCCAGCUUUGUCUUCAUGAUCUUCCCAACCAGAAGACGCGGCGUUGGCUUCGACAAUGGCGAACGCGGCGAUGUCGAUACAUCGUCCGCGGAAGCAAACAAGACGGCGGCGCCUAACCAGCCACAGACAAAGGACGCUUUAUCAAACGUUUAGAAUCACAUAAAUUCCAAGAAAAAAGGGCACAGUUGAAACUUGUUUGCUUGCUUGCGUUUGACUUUCUGUCAUUGCGUCUGUUGGUGUGUUUCCUAUUUAUUUUUUGUGUGCUUGUUAGGAUGUAAAACCAGUUUGUGUGCUUAUUUCAGUUCGAUUUUUAUUUCACCUAUAAUAAAGAAUACAGGGUUCCCCCUUCCUUGUCAAAAAA
rnacentral:misc_RNA from 1 species